UUAAUAGUUUGCUUUGUAUCCCAGCACAGAUCAGCACAACACGCAACAGCUGUCAGAAACGGUGCUUUGAAAGGGGAGGGGCGCAUGUCUCCAGGGCAGCCGAGUUCAAAACAACGAGCGGAGCGGUCACUUGAGGCAUUAUGGGCCAGCUCUGGAGGCCAAUUACAGCGCAGAAAGCAAUCAAGUGUCUACACUGGCAAUAAAGCGCUGGAGCCUCUGCGCAAAUAGCCUUACGACUCUCGUCAAGGUGGGUGUUUUGCAUGGCUGCAACUGAGGAGUUUCUGCGCACAAAGUGGCGUGGCAGCAUGUACACAGCUGCAGUUUGAGCGCAGAAAGCUGCUUCAGUGUAGACAAGCCCUGAGUUGCCAACCUCCAGCAGCAGAGAGUCUGUCCCAAAGGGGGGCUGCCAUACUGCAAGACACCCACAAUUCUCAAUCUAAUAGAGGAUACCAAGUUGAUGAGUGCACCUCAGAAAGUGGGUGGCAGGGACAGCAUCCAUGAGGUGAGCAUCUUUCACUGGAACACUGGAUAUUCCCAAGAAGUGCAACAGGGAAAACAAUGCUUGCUCUCCUCAGGGAAUGAAUCGACCCUGGGGAACAGCUGCCUCUGGUGAUACAAGAGAGUCAGAUUGCACUCCACUUCACCAAUGAAUCAAGUCCUAGGUCUUUGCUGAGAUUUUCAACAACAAAUACAAAAUUCAACCAUAUAUUUUUUUAAAUGAGACGACAUCAUUACAUAAACACUGCCCACUGGCGUGGGUAUUUUAGUGUAUGAUGGGACAGCAGGAGCCAGCACAUAAAUCUGAUGGCCAGGGUCAGUGCUUAAGCAGAGAUUACUUCUAAGCUUCACUUACAUGUUCUAUUUUGGCCCAGCAAAUUACAGUGUACUUUUGGAAAAGCAAAUGGACUCCAUUCACUCUUGCUGGCACAGAAGGGGGAGCAAGAUGGGACUUCCUGAGCCAGCAGAGGCCACUGCACAAGGAGGGGAAUUCAGUUCCAGAUGCAGACAGGCACUCCACCCUCCCUUAGGGGUUCCACUAGGGCAAUUAAGUCACAUUUGAAGCUUCAUAGAAGCCCAGCUGAUAGAGGACACAUUGACUCACUCAGUCUCCUGGGUCCCUGGCCUGCCCCUGGCCCUCACUCAGUCUCAGACACUCACUGGGACCCUGGUCCUCACUCAGUCUCCUGACACCCUACCCACCCAAUGCCGUACUAUUCCAUGGCCUUUCAGAGAAGGGGGAGGUCCAACCAACUUGUACCACAACAGCUUUGUCCUAACCCAUGGUCUACGCGGGCUUCUGCUGGAAUAACCAGGGCUAAAUAUCCUUUUAAUACAGUAGAUUGCAUACAGUAGAUUGCUGUAGCAAGAUCCAACUCUCUUUACUUUCUCUCACCUCCCCCAGUGUGAUGAUUUGUUUACUGAAGAAUCCUAACUGUGUGCAGUAAGAGAGAAAUGACCAAAUUAUGUGAAAAUCUACCCUCAUGGUUCGAAAUAUCCCACUGCCAAACUAUAGUCCAACAGCUUAGAUUCAAGAGAAAAAAAAUGUAGGGCUAAAUUUUCAUAGGGGCCUCAACCUAGCAAGUAAAACUGUACCUGUAAGUUUACAUUCCCAAAUCUUUUACAUGGACAAAAGCUGCAGAUGCAAUUUUAGAAGACACUUUCUAAUAUCUGUCCCAUAAAUUACUAACAAAAACAUAAAGCUAAUAUAGACUAAUAGAAGAUCCCACUCUGAUCAUACACUAUGAGCCUGACCUUCUGUAUAACACAGGCCAUAGGAUUUCCCAGAAUUAAUUAACAAAGUCUUGUUUGUAAAAUCAGAAUAAUGUUAUUAACAAGUUAUCAUAAUGUUGUUACUGUAGGAAUGAGAUUUUACCUUAAUAUACAGAACUGAUUAUGGUUAGGAGCAUGAAAACACUGUGAUAUGGGUUUAAUUGUAUUCCUUUUAAGAUGUUCAUUAACUUGUAAUUAUUAUAUAGGCAACAUACAGUAUUUAAAAUAUUUCUGUUAAAGAUCACAAAAUCAUUUUACUGACAGACAGCCACUCAGUAAAAUUAGGAAGUUAUAUUUGUACUCAGUAGACACUGAAAAUUCUAUUAAAUCUAUCAUCUAGGAAAACAUAAUGGUGUUAAUACCCAAUACAUAUGUAUAUUGUUAUUAUCUUUGUUUGCCAUUGGCAAAAGAAGAUAAUAUAACUUGUUUAUGCAGUGGAAUCGUAUUGUUGAUAAUUUAAAAAGACAAUGGGAUUUUACCAGUUGGACAGCAUCACAGUUGACCAUAAUUCAGAGAUGACUAUUAACCAGGUUAUCUGAAAAUAUCUGAAAAGGAGGUAUUUAGGGCCUGAUGCAAAGCCCACUGAGGUCACUGGAAAGAUUCUCAAGCUCUUAUCAAAUAGAAAAUGACUUAACAUAGUCAAAAUCACAAGCAUAUGUUAAUAUUUUCCUUUUGGGCAAUGGACAUGUAACACAAGAAGCAUUCCUUCUAUGCCAGUGGAUUCCAGACUAUUUUCCUCAAAGUGCAGAAGAUAACGUUUGUCAUGAAAUCACCUAUUAGACUAUUCAUCAAAGAAGGAGCAUGAACAUAUUUACUUCCUUUUCUUCACCAUGGGCUGAUGGACACCUGGAUGGAAAACUGGAGAGAACCAAGUCUAAAGAAGGGCCCCCUUUAAGACUAUGCCAUGUGGUAACACCAGCAAGACUUUCCUACGUGGGCAGACAUUAAUGAUCUCUUUGUCACACAGAAGUCUGUGGUGUUAAAAAUACCAUUAUAAUACCACUUUAAACUGAAGCUUCUUAUUUCUUGAAAUGAUAUACUCCAACCAUGAACCAUAACCAGAGCUGGGGCUUGCAUGUUUGAACAACAUACUGGUGCCACUGAUAACUAAUCCAACAGACAGCUGUAUGUUCUUAUCUCAAAGACUGACCAAUAUUCCUCUGAAAGAACUAACCAUUGCUUAGAAAGGGUGUCUCUUACUGUAAAAAAAUUAUAGUUUAUGAUUAGCACUUCCAGUAUGUCAGUUAUCAGGUUUUGUUAAGACUAAUGAGAACUUGAAAACUCAGUAUAUUAUCAAGAAAUUCAUUGUUUUCCCGAGUAACUUCACUAAUCAUUGUAUAAAGACAUAACUAAAAGCAGCCAUGUGUGUAAAGUGACUUGAAGCUAGAAAAUGCUUAAAUAUCACAUGAGAUUGAUAUUGUCCUUCAACACUGUGGGCAUAAUUAUUCUGUGGUUUGCAAAGGCAAAAGCAAAGUGCUCCACACAUCACCUAAAGCCUGUACAGGAACUGUGUUGAAGGGUGACAGUCACCUAAUGGUCACAGAGUGCGGGGCUGGAUUUCUCCAAUUGACUUCAAUAGGCUUUGGAUCAGGCACACAGAGCCUUGAAGAUGGAGUAUAUUUUACCCAGAAAAAACACAUUACUGAAGAUAAGGGAGACCCCAUAUGGGGAAGGCAGAGGAGCAAGAGCUACACAGAUUGGAACAGAAAUUGCUGAGGAGCUGCCCAGAACCUGCUGGAUGUUGAGAGGAGAUCAUCCUGGGACAAAGCAAGGGUCAGCUCCUGCUCCCAUGCAGUCUGCAGGGAUUGCGACAUUGACUUCAACAGCAGGAGAACUGAGCUCUGAGCUAACAUUGAUAAUAUUGCACAAGUAGUGAUUGCAUGGAAACUUUCUCCCUUUAAAUUUUCCAUGGAUGGUAGCUUGCUAUGUAUUCUUUUAAGUGCUAUGUGCUAUGAACAUUUUCACAUUUCCUUGUAAGAUAUUUAGGAUCUGUCAUAAAAAAAUCGAAAAGACACAAAUAUUCUAACACUUUAAAAAUAUUGUUUGAAAAGGGUUUUCACAGAGUUAAGAAACUGAAGAAUUCCGCGAUUCACAAGUACAGGUACUUUAGUGAAAAUGCCAGUUCCUGUGAUCCUGCAAUGCCAGCCAUGUUGUAGUAUUGCGUAGUGUUAACCAAAAAUAUUUGCUAGAUCUUUUACAGGCAUUGGAAAGCAUUAUCUUAUUAUUAUUAAUUAUUAUUGUUGUUGUUUAUUGUUUAUUAUUAAAGUUGUUAUUAUAA